rnacentral:rRNA from 1 species
CAAGUCGAACGAACGGAGGAAGAGCUUGCUCUUCCAAUGUUAGUGGCGGACGGGUGAGUAACACGUGGGCAACCUGCCUGUAAGUUGGGGAUAACUCCGGGAAACCGGGGCUAAUACCGAAUGAUAAAGUGUGGCGCAUGCCACGCUUUUGAAAGAUGGUUUCGGCUAUCGCUUACAGAUGGGCCCGCGGUGCAUUAGCUAGUUGGUAGGGUAAUGGCCUACCAAGGCAACGAUGCAUAGCCGACCUGAGAGGGUGAUCGGCCACACUGGGACU